CCAGGUCGGUUCUGGCUGUGUUCUCUGUUCAUUCUGGCUGUGUCCUCUGUAGUUUUCGGCUCCGUUCCCGGUUGGUUCCAGCUGUGUUCUGCAUGAUUUUGAACUGUGGCCUGUAUUGAUUCCAGCUGUGUUCCAUGUUGGUUCCAGCUGUGUUCUGUAUGGUUUGGAUCCAUGUCAUAUAUUGGUUUCCAGCUGUGUUCCAGGUUGGUUCCAGCUGUGUCCUAUAUGGUCUUGGUCUGUGUCCUGUAUUGAUUCCAGCUGUGUCCUAUAUCGAUUCCAGCUGUGUUCCAGAUUGCUUCUAGCUGUGUUCUGUAUUGGUUCCAUGUCCUGUAUGGUUUCCAGCUGUGUUCCAGGUUGGUUCCAGCUGUGUCCUAUAUGGUUUCAGGCUAUGUCCUAUAUAGUUUCCAGCUAUGUACCAGGUUGGUUCUGGCUGUGUUCCAUAUUGGUUCUAGCCCUGUUCUGUAUUGAGUCUAGCUGUGUCCUAUAUGGUCUUGGUCUGUGUCCUAUAUUGAUUCCAGCUGUGUUCCAGGUUGGUUCCAGCUGUGUCCUAUAUGGUUUCAGGCUACGUUCUGCAUUGAAUCUGGUUGUGUCCCUUACUGUCUUGGUCUGUGUCCUGUAUUGAUUCCAGCUGUGUUCCAGGUUGCUUUCAUGCUGUGUCCUAAAUUGGGUUCCAGCUGUGUUCCAUGUUGGUUCUGGCUGUGUCUAUAAGGUUUUGGUCUGUGUCCUGUAUGGUUUUCAGCUGUUUUCCAGGUUGGUCCCAGCUGUGUCCCAUAUCAAUUCCAGCUGUGUUCCAGGUUGGUCCCAGCUGUGUCCCAUAUAAUUUCCAGCUGUGUUCCAGGCUGGUCCCAACUGUGUCCCACAUCAAUUCCAGCUGUGUUCCAGGCUGUUUUCCUGCUGUGUCCUUUAUAGUUCCCAGCUGUGUUCCACGUGUUUUCCAGCUGUGCCCUGAACAGUUUUGUGUUCUGGGUUGUGUUCUGGGUUGCGUUCCGUGUUGUUCUUCCUCUUUAGGUUCUCCCUGCAGCAAAACUAAGCGCUUUUUCCUCCUUUUUGUACAGAAUUUCUGCUAUUU